CUUUGUCAAUAUGAGCUCUCAAAAACAAUUACGCUGUUAUCCCUAAGGUAACUUGAUCUUAUUAUCAUAAAUUAUGGAUCAAAACAUCAAACAUAAUUAAAUGAUAUAAUAAUGAAGAGUUUAUUCAUUCUUCAUGUCUCCCCAACAAAACAUCAUCAUUAAAUAUAGAAAGACAAACAAAAAACUAUAUAAAAAUAAAAUGUUAAGCUCUAUAGGGUCUUCUCAUCCUAAAGAAAAAUUUAAGCCUUUUGACUCAAAAGUUAAAUUCAAAAAUUUAUUAAGAGACAGUUGAUUUCUCGUCAAGCCAUUCAUUCCAGCCACUAAUUAAGAGACUAAUGAUUAUGCUACCCUUGCACGGUCAAAAUACCGCGGCUCUUUAAAAAUCUGCUCAGUGAGCAGGCCAGACCUCAAAGUAUUUUCAAGAGGACAUGUUUUUGAUAAACAGGCGGAAAACAAUUUUGCCUAGUUCCUUAUAAUAAAUUCACAAGGUAAAAAUUAUAUACAAAUAAAUAUACUAAUUCUAUCAUUAUUACAAAAA